CGGCGAUCGUUCCGGAGCGACUCUCAGUUGUCCCAAGGAGAGUACAGCAUGCUACCAAAAGAGCUUGAAAUAUGUUUAAUUAUAUAAGGAAUGUUUCCAGAACAAACGGAAAAUUUACGUAUACUGCUUGAAGACUAUUAAGGUGUAGAAUAUUUAGAAUACCAGGGUAAUGGCUCCAGCAGAGCUAAUAGUUAGCCCUGGACUGGACA